rnacentral:rRNA from 1 species
CUUGCUCUUUAUCAAAUCCAGUGGCAAACGGGUGAGUAACACGUAAACAACCUGCCUUCAGGAUGGGGACAACAGACGGAAACGACUGCUAAUACCGAAUACGUUCCACGGGCCGCAUGACCUGUGGAAGAAAGGGUAGCCUCUACCUGUAAGCUAUCGCCUGAAGAGGGGUUUGCGUCUGAUUAGGCAGUUGGUGGGGUAACGGCCCACCAAACCAACGAUCAGUAGCCGGUCUGAGAGGAUGAACGGCCACACUGGAACUGAGACACGGUCCAGACUCC